rnacentral:siRNA from 1 species
CUCUACCUUAUUCUAAGUUCCUC